CUUUCCAGAGAGGGACCUUGUAAGGCUGACUUUGGAAUAUGACUGCAUUCUGCUGAUUGUAAAGGAGGAAAAGGAUUCUCACAUGACAAUGAAGAGACUGAAGAAGUAUCAUCAAUGGAUAAAGCAGAAUAGAAAUAGCAGCCGCCUGGACCAUACCUAGAAAGGAAUCAUUUUGCCUGGCAGAAGCAUGAAACAGUUCCAUAUUUGAGAUGGCAUUUACCACUGAGGGAAAAAAAAAGUAUCAUGUGAAAGAAGCAAGAAUUGGACUGACCACACACUUGUCAUUGCCAAUCAGAUGCUGCAAAACAAUGGAUCUGUUUUUCAGAGUUCUGAAAUAAAAUGCUAAUCAAACUAGAAUCUGCUUAGCUAAGACACUGCCAAAUAUGAAGACCAAAUAAAAGAUUUUCAGAUGUGUCAUAAUUCAGAGUUUAUACUCCAAGCAUUCUUUUGUAGAAAGGAACUCAAGGGUGUAUUUCAGCAAAAUAAAGAAGUAAAGUACUAGAGCCAUCACUCAGAGAGCAAAUGACCAGACCAGAUGCUAACAACAAACAUUGUGUGACUUCCUAUCUCCAGCCACUUCUGAAGUCAGAUCUAUUUUCUUGAGUAAGUAAUUUUUUUCCAAGUUUGGGUUGUUUUUCAUACCAUUUGGAACCAAGAGUUCUGGUAGUCACAAUAAUGUUUGGAGAUACUAGAUGGACUGUAAAAGCAGAAUCUCUAUGUACGUUCUCCGCUGAACAGCACGGGAAUUGGUGCCACAGAGAAAGAAAUGUGAUCCUACCAAACCAGUUAGCUCAAGAGCAAUGCUUAGGUAGCCAUAGCAAUUUAAACUGUUUAUUGAUUUAAAAUUUUUAGAAGUCACUGAGACCUUUAUAGUCAGAGAAAUUGUCAACCUUGACAAGUAUAAAGGUAAAUGUACAUGUAACCAAAGUCGGGAAGUGAAAGAGAGUGAAGAAAGGUAGGUAAGGUAGACAGAGGGCAGGAAAGCCCAUGUCCUCAUCUCCCAAAGCAGGUAGUGAAGAGAUCUGCCCUGUGAAGACCAGAAUAAGAAUUGGAGGUACACUUAACAGUCCCUGCCAUGUCAUCAACAAAUGGUGUUGAGAACACAUUGUAGGAAGGGAAAUGCUUACAUUCAUAGAAAU
rnacentral:lncRNA from 1 species